rnacentral:rRNA from 1 species
UACGUAGGGUGCGAGCGUUAAUCGGAAUUACUGGGCGUAAAGCGUGCGCAGGCGGUGAUGUAAAGACAGAUGUGAAAUCCCCGGGCUCAACCUGGGAACUGCAUUUGUGACUGCAUCGCUGGAGUGCGGCAGAGGGGGAUGGAAUUCCGCGUGUAGCAGUGAAAUGCGUAGAUAUGCGGAGGAACACCGAUGGCGAAGGCAAUCCCCUGGGCCUGCACUGACGCCUCAUGCACGAAAGCGUGGGGAGCAAACAGG